ensembl:lncRNA
UAUAUUAUAUAUUAUAUAUAAGAGUAAAAGAAGUUCUUGAAAAUCCGUCAACCAUCAUCACACAAAGAGCUUUAAACACUAAAGCGAACAAUACUUGUUGACCUGCACCAUCAUAUGUUGCAUAUAAAACUCCAGAUACCCAUCAGUUAGUACACUCAAGGCCCUGAUAAAGUUUAAACAGUUUAAACAUGUUUAUAUUGAAAAGCAUUGGAACCAUGAACAUAGUGUUCACCCAAUCAAAGCGACAGUGAGGGGAAUGAAGAAGUAUACAAAGCGCUUUAGAAUUAGUUCAUUAAUGUACAUUUCAGUUAAUGUUUUGAGUUUGUCAUAUUUCAAAAUCACUAUUUUGCUGCCUCCUAAACGACUUGCUUAAAAGAGGCUCAGCUACUGGACUUCACUAUGCAUCACAGGAAUUACCACUGGAGUAGUGUUGUGAUCGGUUGAGACUGAAACUAAAAUUAUUUGCCCUGCACACACCAGCAGGCGCUUUUUUUUUUUUUUAAAUGGGGCACACAAGGAUAAUAAUACUGAUACCGGAUAUUAUGUAUGCUGGGGGAUCACUGAUGCUUUAAAAUCGUAUUAAUCACAAUCUGGUUGCCUUUGCUAGAGGUUAAAAACUUGGCCAUAGAUGAAUCUUCAAUACACUGUCCCCAUACAUCCCUACAGGGGUGGAAUUAGCACUAGGCAAAAGCAGACAACUGCCUUGGGAUCCCAGAAGCCAAGGGACCCCUAAAAAUGCAAACUAUAUAUAUAUAUUUUUUUUUAAUUAUUAAUGCUAAAUAAUGCAUGCUGAAAAUUGAAGUAUUGAUGUUAAAACACUGGAAUGAUUUAUAUUGCUGUUAAUUCAGCAGCGACCAGGGGACACUGCUGUGUAGCAGCAAGCAUCACAACAGAGAAAGGAAGCUCAAGAAUAAUCGAGGUAAAUGUUUGUAAUUUAAUAGGGCCCCUAAAUAAAUAAAUAAAUCCACCCCCGCAUCCAGAUCAACAUAAGUGUAUGCAGAUCUCAAAAUGUGCUUUGCUAUAGAGGAUCUGAAUCUGAAACCUGUUAGUUUGAGGCUUGGCCAAACUAACCUUAAAGCACCUUAGAGCACAGUCCACAAGCGCAAACCUCAGAAUAUAAAGGAGUCGGAAAUGUUCUGCUCACCUGAGUGGUCCAAGAUCCUCUACCAGUGUCUCCAAUCUCGUCUUCAUUACGGAGAGAAUCAGUGCUGUUUAUUCAUUUAUUAUUAACAAAAUAUCAAUAGUAUGGGUCCUGAUAAAUUUGAAACCAGUUUGUAGUUGUAUUUUAUUUUUUAAAAAUAAAAACUACAUUAAAUUAAAGCUAAACAGAAUCGCCACAUGUAUCAGUUCAAGAUAUGAAAAUUUCCAUGCAUUAUUCAUGCUUGCUGAUUUGCAUGAAGGGUACAAAUAAUUCUAGAGUUAUAAAACAAUGAUGAAACAAUACACACACAGCCUUUUUCUGCUGUCUAAUGCAGUGUGCCAUCAAAUAUUUAGUUUAAAAAAAAAAAAAAAAAGAUUUUCAAAAAUAUUUGACAAUCUGUGAAAUGUUGAAGCCAGGAUUAGAGCGUUUUGCCUGAAUCGUGAACCACUGCAGUCCUGACGAUGUGACGUGUGAUAAAUCCACUUAGCACACUACAUGAACACCACCUCAUCUCCUUGAUCCCUCUCUGUUUGAUUCCUGCUCCCUGACACACACACACACACACACACACACACACACACACACACACACACACACACACACGAGAGUUGGGGCUAGGCAGGUGAUAAUCUGAUCAGUUAGUCAUUAAACCGAGUCCCAUGGGGUCAGUUCAACUUCAGAGAGGGGACGUGUGGCACCAUGAACUACACGAACAUCCUGAAAUAGAAUGUAGUGACUGGAGGAGAGAAUAUGGAGAGAAGUGGAGAGCAAAAAUAUCAUGGUUUUACAACAAAGGGUAUGGAGAGUGUGAAAAGGUUAAAAGGUUAACCAUUUGAGAAAGAAAGAAAUAAAGAAAGAAUAGGUUAGGAGAGCAGGUGAGGAGAGGAGAGGGCAGGUGAGGUGAAGGGAGGGCAGGUGAGGAGAGGAGAGGGCAGGGCAGGUGAGGAGAGGGCAGGGCAGGAGAGGUGAGGGCACGUAAGGAGAGGUGAGGGCAGGUGAGGGCACGUAAGGAGAGGUGAGGGCACGUGAGGAGAGGGCAGGUGAGGGCACGUGAGGAGAGGAGAGGGCACGUGAAGAGAGGGCAGGUGAGGGCACGUGAGGAGAGGAGAGGGCAGGUGAGGAGUUUUUAGACUCCAGUGUGAAGGGGUGUAAAGUGUGAGGUGUUUGGAGGGAAAUGCACUGAGGGUGGAACUGGGCAUCUCAGACAGCUAACAGCACAAACAAGAAACUACACUGUUCACUCCUUGCUCUUACCUGUACAACGGCGACGGAGUGAGAACACACAACACGGCACAUUUAACACACGAGAGAGCGUUUUAAGAAAAAAAAAAAAGCCUUUAUUUUACAAUUUUAAAAAGCAAUAUUAAGCACAAAGAGUGAACUUUGAUAUAAACUUUUUUUUUCCUGCAUAAAAAUGGUGGCGUGUGCACGUUGUGCUUGCAUUGCAAACUGUGUCCAGCCUCUUGGGGCUCUCGCCGUCUCGCCUUUUUAUUGCAUAUGUCACACGUGACAGACUCCUCGUGGGUCUGCUUCCAGUUCAGGACUGUGCAGAAGACAAGGAAGAGGAGGAGAUGAAGAAACAAGAAAAAAAACAAAAACAAAACCCAAACAGACAGAAAAGAAAUGCACACAGUAGCAGCUCUCUGAAGAAGGUCUUGCACAUUGUCCAGAGGGGGGAAAUAAAACAAUAAUUAUAAACCAACGAAUGAUUAGAAUAAAUUAACAGAGUGACACUCACCGCAGUUGUGCUUUAACGCUGUUUACACAAACAGCUAACCCUAAUUAAAAACACAAAGCAACUCAGAUAUGAAUCAGAGAUUCCUGUGACAGAUAUGCUGCCCCAAGUUUCUAAUUAUUUAGCGCAUAAUGCUAGCUGAACAGUUGCACACAUCCCCAUAGACAGCUGUGAUUAUUAUAUUCUCUCCUCUGUAUCUCUCUCUACUCUAUAGAAAUCUACUCUUACAAAACUAAACCAUAUUACAAGGCAUUUCCCCUUAUAAAGGAAGGCAGAUUCACGCUCCUAUUUAUAUCACCACCAUUCAUCACACAGCAAGUUACUUAAAAAAAAAAUAAAAUAAAAACAAAACACUCAACCUUUAAAGACUUUGGUAUGAACAAAAGAUUUUCAGAUCCUCCUAGUAACGGAAUAAGAUUGUUUCCCUUUGAAGAACCAAGUCCUGUUAUAAUGCUAAGUAUGAAAUGUGCAUAGAAAUAUUCAUGAGAUGAACGUUCACGCCAGUGAAACACCACUGAUAGAAAAUUGAUGUUUGAGGAGAAGACACUCAAAAAAAAAAAAAAAAAAAAAAAAGAAAAAGAAAAAAAAAAAAGUUGUCUCUUAAGAUAAAUCAGUCAUGAGGCGUGAAGUCUCUUACAGAAAACUCCGCCUAAGAAGCAGCGACAAGGUCCCGAGUAAAACUUCCUCACGUCUCCUACAAUCUAUUCUGAGCUUUUACUCUUUAAGUGAACAAUUCUACUGUUGGUAUGUGCGGAGUAAAACGGCCAACGGGCAGCGGGUCAGGCUGGGCAGAACACUGUACUUCUGUGUGUCUUGGCUGAGACUGGGAAAAGAGACUGAGCUCACCAGGGUAAAGGUUCUGCUACUAAGCUUCAGAUAUCCGUGCUUCUGAGGACCACAAGGUGAUCAAGUCAAACACUUACACACCCUCACGCACACACACCUUGGAAAACAUCUCAAUUUAUGAAAGAGCUAUGCUGCACUGGGGAAGGCUUUGCACACUUUACAUUUCUUCCACUAGCUUGCAUUUUGAGCUGAUUAUUUAUCUAUAGAAGAGAAAGACAAAUCUUUCUCAUACCAAGACUUGAAUUACAUUCUCUGGCUUUUUUUUUUUUUUAAUAUAAUAAUUUUGUACUCUUUAUAAAAAACAAAAAAACAAACAAACAAAAAAAAAACAAACAAACAAAAACAAAAAACAAAAACUGCCCUCAUGAGUUACUGAUAAUAUUACACUUUCUCUUAAACAAGAGGGAAAAAAAACCUUUGGUAACACCAACAUUUUACCAGUAACUAGAGCUUGACCAUAAAGGCUUUUUCCAACAGGAGCCAACUGUCAAAGGUCUGCUUUUGUUCAUCCUGAUAUCAAGUUGACGACAUACCUCAUUCAAUUUUUACUGACGUUAGCUUGUUCUGAUGAUGACUUGCAUUCAUCAUUCAUGCAUACUUUGCAGCUCAGAGUACUUCUGGUAUGUGAGAGUUAUAUAACGUUGAUGUGAAGUCAGGGUAAUUACAUAUAACUGUCAAUUAGGGUGCUGAGACUGUUACAAGAUUUAGAACAAGCUCAAAUAUUCAACGACUAAAGAACUUACCAAAGAUGAAAAUAUGAUCAGUCAUGACAGUGUCAUGGCAUUCCCGGAAAUAUUAAUAGAAAUAUACUAUAGGUACACUGAACUGCAAAGUCAAAGUCAGUUGUCAUGACGAUCUAACGCAGCACAGAUUUAUGUCAACAAAUAUCUCUCACUUGACACUAUGGGGUUAUGAAAGCAAUCAUUACACCCGUUUGUUAGACGCCUUAAUACAUGCUUAUGUGGGUUUUAUGUAGGAGUCAAAUAACUAUUAAUCACUGCCUUUAAGUAAAAGUUACCAAAACUUGUAUAGCUUAUGAGAAUCAGUCAUUAUCUUCUGCUCCACUGAACAGAUUCAGUGUAGUCUGUAGUUUGAUGUACGAACAGCAUACUUCACUUAUAUGAAGUCAAGCCAGAUGUUCUGUCUAUCUGCAUUCCCGAGGGCAUUCGCUCAGCUCGUGAUUUAGAGACAAACGCCAACACAAGGUAACGGUUUAGGGUUUAGGGAAAGGGGGGAAAACAAAAAUAAAAAGGGAAAUGGGUCAUGCUACAACGCUGCAAUCAACAAUCCAUAAACUUUCAUUGUGUGUCCAAUUCAAACCUACUGUGACAAGGACUGAGUAGAAACUAAAUAAUUAAUGUAAACCCUUUAAAGAUCAUACACAUAUGUGAAGUGUCCAUUUUACAUAAAGGAACCAAAUGAUGCGGUCACUGAUAUGAUGCGAGUGAACAGAAAGUGACCAACACCUAGCGCGGUUCAGAAUGUUGGGUUUGUUUUAUGAAGACAUUUAGUUUCCUACAGCUUUUAGCAUUUGGUUAAGAUGACAGCGAAUGGUCGGUCAUGCUACUGAAAUGUUUCGGUAGAACUGGAGAGUCUGCAGUAAACGGUUCUCAGUCACCCUGCCCCAGAGGAGCACUGGGGAAAUUCAUUGGCUCACAUUGCUGCUACAUGCGGUUCACGAUCAACCAAAACUAUUAUGGAUUUAAGACUCAAUCAAAGACAAUGUCCGAAGAUUACGCCUUGCUAGCCCCCAAGAAACAACAUUUAUGGAUUACUUACUCAAACUUUUUCGAAAAUAAUUUUAUAUUGUUUUUGUUAGAAGACCAGUGAACUAGCAUUAACUACUUCUGUGGCCUAAUAUACUUUCUCCAUUUAUGUUUCAUAUUGGUUCCGGUGUGCCUUAUGGUGAGCAUGUAAAAAAAAAAAAAUAAAUGCAUGUUUGAUUGUUGUGUACUACAUAAUUCACCCUAAAGUCUUGCCCGUAACAUAUCCAUACCACUACAGCAGGAGCAGAUUUACAUUAAGAUAUAUAUAUAUAU